rnacentral:rRNA from 1 species
GACAGAGGGGGCGAGCGUUGUCCGGAGUCACUGGGCGUAAAGCGUGCGCAGGCAGCAACCUAAGUGUCGUGUGAAAGCCCCCGGCUCAACCGGGGGAGGCCAUGGCAAACUGGGUCGCUCGAGCUGCGGAGAGGCCCCUCGAAUUGCCGGUGUAGCGGUGAAAUGCGUAGAGAUCGGCAGGAAGACCAAGGGGGAAGCCAGGGGGCUGGCCGCAGGCUGACGCUGAGGCGCGACAGCGUGGGGAGCAAACCGG